AUUGAACGCUGGCGGCAGGCCUAACACAUGCAAGUCGAGCGAGCGGCGGACGGGUGAGUAAUGUCUGGGAAACUGCCUGAUGGAGGGGGAUAACUACUGGAAACGGUAGCUAAUACCGCAUACCAUCGGAUGUGCCCAGAUGGGAUUAGCUAGUAGGUGGGGGAACGGCUCACCUAGGCGACGAUCCCUAGCUGGUCUGAGAGGAUGACCAGCAACACUGUACCUGCGACACGGUCCAGACUCCUACGGGAGGAAGCAGUGGGGAAUAGUGCACAAUGGGCGCAAGCCUGAUGCAGCCAGGCCGCGUGUAUGAAGAAGGCCUGCGUGUUGUAAAGUACGUUCAGCGGGGAGGCGUUACCCGCAGAAGAAGCACGGGCUAACUCCGUGCCAGCAGCCGCGGUAAUUU
rnacentral:rRNA from 1 species